UGGGGAAUAUUGCACAAUGGGCGCAAGCCUGAUGCAGCCAUGCCGCGUGUGUGAAGAAGGCCUUCGGGUUGUAAAGUACUUUCAGUCGGGAGGAAGGUGGUAAGGUUAAUAACCUUGGCAAUUGACGUUACCGACAGAAGAAGCACCGGCUAACUCCGUGCCAGCAGCCGCGGUAAUACGGAGGGUGCAAGCGUUAAUCGGAAUUACUGGGCGUAAAGCGCACGCAGGCGGUUGAUUGAGUCAGAUGUGAAAUCCCCGGGCUUAACCCGGGAAUUGCAUCUGAUACUGGUCAGCUAGAGGCUUGUAGAGGGGGGUAGAAUUCCAUGUGUAGCGGUGAAAUGCGUAGAGAUGUGGAGGAAUACCGGUGGCGAAGGCGGCCCCCUGGACAAAGACUGACGCUCAGGUGCGAAAGCGUGGGGAGCAAACAGG
rnacentral:rRNA from 1 species